rnacentral:lncRNA from 1 species
GGCCUGAGCCACGGGGCCUGGUUCCACAUGAGCUUUUGACAGUGCCAGAAUGAACCAUGUCCUUUACUACUUCAGGCCUUUGCAUGAACAAUUCCUUGGUCAGGGAUCAGACUGCCUGACACACUUUAACCGAUCCCUCCAGGCCCAACUCAAAAGUCUCAUCGUAGUCCAAGGGGCCUUCCCUAACUCAAUCUUCUCCCAGUGACUGGAUCUCUGGAUUUUACUGUUCUACUUGCUUCCCCUUCCUCCUCCUGGCCACACACACAUAUGCGUGCACAUGCACAAACACACACACACACACACACGCUAUUGCGUCCCCAAAGCCUCACGGGUCCUGUAGCUUUUCAGAACUGAUGUUCAACAAAUGUAUGUCAAAUGAAUGAAUGAAUGAAAAUGCUAGAAAAUACGAAGCAGAUGCACCGAGGAAAUGUUUCUUUGAAGUAUCGGAUAUAAUGGAAUCUGAGAGCCUCGUGGCAAUCAGCUGAGUCUAAGCAGGCAUUAGGUUUUAUAGGGGUGAAGUCUGACAUGAAAUUAACAUAUAAAUGUAGAUUUCAAACACCUAGAGCCAUCUUACAAGAUAGGAUUUCAGAAAUGUGUCCUAGAAUGUGAACUGUACCAAAAAACAUCCUAGUAAGUUCUAGGAGCUUUAUUCUGAUUUGUCCCAGAAGUUUUUAAUCUUUUCUUCAACUUUGGAGCAAAGUCUGAACAUCCAAUUGAAUGUGGAAUAGGUUUCAAGCCAUCAAAAACAUAAGUUGAUUUUUGGGUUGCAUUAAAGAUCUGGUAAUUUGUUUUAAACUUUCAUUUUUUAAGGAAAAUUAAAUAGAGUUGAAUUUUUCAUUGACAGUGAAAUAUAUAGUAAGCCAUGGAUUAAUACCUUCAUAAAAAUUUAUCUAAACAAAGUGCUGCCUGUCUUAUUUAUGUUAAAGUCUGUAAAGUCAGCAGUGAAAAAGGGAAAGUACUUUCCUGGAAUGUAUUUGUAUCUGUCACAAGCUGAAUCUUGAGGAAAUUGGCAGGCAUUUGAAGUGGAAUAAUUCCUUAGCGUUCUGUUUAGUUUGGAUUUCUUCAAUUCGG